CACUUAUAGAUGGAUCCGCGCUGCAUUAGCUAGUUGGUAAGGUAACGGCUUACCAAGGCAACGAUGCAUAGCCGACCUGAGAGGGUGAUCGGCCACACUGGAACUGAGACACGGUCCAGACUCCUACGGGAGGCAGCAGUAGGGAAUCUUCCGCAAUGGGCGAAAGCCUGACGGAGCAACGCCGCGUGAGUGAUGAAGGUCUUCGGAUCGUAAAACUCUGUUAUUAGGGAAGAACAUAUGUGUAAGUAACUGUGCACAUCUGACGGUACCUAAUCAGAAAGCCACGGCUAA
rnacentral:rRNA from 1 species